rnacentral:rRNA from 1 species
UACAGAGGUCUCAAGCGUUGUUCGGAUUCAUUGGGCGUAAAGGGUGCGUAGGCGGCGCGGUAAGUCGGGUGUGAAAUCUCGGAGCUUAACUCCGAAACUGCAUUCGAUACUGCCGUGCUUGAGGACUGGAGAGGAGACUGGAAUUUACGGUGUAGCGGUGAAAUGCGUAGAUAUCGGGAGGAACACCGGUGGCGAAGGCGGUUCUCUGGGCCUUACCUGACGCUGAGGAGCCGAAAGCGUGGGGAGCGAACA